rnacentral:rRNA from 1 species
ACGAACGCUGGCGGCAGGCCUAAAACAUGCAAGUCGAACGAUGUAGCAAUACAUAGUGGCGCACGGGUGAGUAACGCGUGGGAAUGUGCCUUUGGGUGCGGAACAACGUCGGGAAACUGACGCUAAUACCGCAUAAUAUCUACGGAUCAAAGAUUUAUCGCCCAAAGAUCAGCCCGCGUCUGAUUAGGUAGUUGGUGAGGUAACGGCUCACCAAGCCUACGAUCAGUAGCUGGUCUGAGAGGAUGAUCAGCCACACUGGAACUGAGACACGGUCCAGACUCCUACGGGAGGCAGCAGUUAGGAAUAUUGGACAAUGGGGGAAACCCUGAUCCAGCCAUGCCGCGUGUGUGACGAAGGCCUUAGGGUUGUAAAGCACUUUCGGCUGUGAAGAUAAUGACAGUAGCAGAAGAAGAAGCUCCGGCUAAAUUCGU